rnacentral:sRNA from 1 species
CGCGGCUGAUACGCCCCGGCGAUCC